CCUACGGGUUGCAGCAGUGGGGAAUAUUGCACAAUGGGCGCAAGCCUGAUGCAGUCAUGCCGCGUGUAUGAAGAAGGCCUUCGGGUUGUAAAGUACUUUCAGCGGGGAGGAAGGUGUUGUGGUUAAUAACCGCAGCAAUUGACGUUACCCGCAGAAGAAGCACCGGCUAACUCCGUGCCAGCAGCCGCGGUAAUACGGAGGGUGCAAGCGUUAAUCGGAAUUACUGGGCGUAAAGCGCACGCAGGCGGUCUGUCAAGUCGGAUGUGAAACCCCCGGGCUCAACCUGGGAACUGCAUUCGAAACUGGCAGGCUAGAGUCUUGUAGAGGGGGGUAGAAUUCCAGGUGUAGCGGUGAAAUUCGUAGAUAUUCGGAGGAACACCAGUGGCGAAGGCGGCUUACUGGUCUGCAACUGACGCUGAGGCGCGAAAGCGUGGGGAGCAAACAGGAUUAGAUACCCCAGUAGUC
rnacentral:rRNA from 1 species